rnacentral:rRNA from 1 species
AUUGAACGCUGGCGGCAUGCCUUACACAUGCAAGUCGAACGGCAACACAGCUUCAGAUUCUGCCUAGUGGCGGACGGGGGAGUAAUACAGCGGAACAUGCCCGAUCCUAGUUUUUCACGGAGCAAAACGUAUGCUAAUACCCCCUACGACCGCCUACUACCUACAGGGGACCGCAAGGCCUCGUGCGACCUGGCGCGCCGGUAUGAGCCGAUGUCGGAUUAGCUAGUUGGUGGGGUAAAGGCCCACCAAGGCGACGAUCCGUAGCUGGUCUGAGAGGAUGAUCAGCCACACUGGAACUGAGACACGGUCCAGACUCCUACGGGAGGCAGCAGUGGGGAAUUUUGGACAAUGGGCGAAAGCCUGAUCCAGUCAUGCCGCGUGCAGGAUGAAGGCCUUCGGGUUGUAAAGUGCUUUUGUAGGGAAAGAAAAGAAGCUGGUUAAUACCUGGGGUUUAUGACGGUACCGAAAGAAUAAGCACCGGCUAACUACGUG